rnacentral:miRNA from 1 species
GUGCAUUGUCGUUGCAUUGCAU